CCGAGAGCAGGAGGGAGGAAGUAUAUUCAUGCCUGUCCUCGAGGCAUGCAGGACGUGGAAAAUGCUGGGUGUGAAUAUGUCUUAAGUACAGCGAUGUCUCUCUUAUCCAGAGUGUCAUUUCUUAAGAGGACGCUUUCUCAAGAAGGAUGGAUUGGAAAGGCUUAAAGAAUAGUUUAUGGCCACAGACACCCCAACCGGGUGCAAAAGACAGGUGGUAUCUCUCCUCUACUCCAAACCUCCAAAUGUUUUCUAUCUUAAAGUAAAAAAGGUGACAUUUGAGCAAAGGCCUGAAGCAGAUUAUCAGCUCCUAGAGGACAGAGAUUUUUGACUCUGUGAAUCACUGAUGCAUCCUUAGAAAGUGACAAUCAAGAUAGUCACAAUCUCAGCCUCCUCUGAGUUUACAAUAUAACACAGGAGACACUACUAUUGAAAGAUACACAGAAGAGACACAACACAGGUGAUGACACUACUAUUGAAAAAAAAAUGAAUAAGGUACUAUGAUUGGGUAUAUUUUGGAGUUCAUUUAGUAGGAGCACUUCUUCCAGUCUGAGGGGGAGGAGUGAAAGUUCAAGUGAGAC